UCUGGCAAGUGUCAUUCGUCGUGUUUUCAGUCAAAAGCAUAGGAAAACACCGUUCGAAAGUAGAAAAAUAAAUAUUUUUGCGAAGUUGCUCGACCGAUCUUCAUUUUGGGACUCAAAUUUGAAAGAUAAAUGGUAAGUGGUUAUUUUUAUGUAAAAAGAUAUACGUUUAUAGGCUAAAUACAAAGAAAAAAUAGUAUAAUACAAUAUACAAUCUCGGUGCUUGUGAUGUUCUGCCAAGAAGCAGAUUCCCAUUUCGCUAUAAAAUUAAUGCGGGCCAAACGUAUUGCUUUCCUGUCUUUUACAUUAAUAAGAAAGCAUAGGUGCUGAUUUGAAACACGUCCAUCAGGUUCCAUGCAUGUAGCUUUGGGAUUUGUGAGCAAAAAUUACUAGUUAAAGUUAAAGUAAACUACCUAUGUUUUUAAUACUUUCUGUGCAACUAUAAAUAACCACAUUCACAAAUGUAUUCUCCAGCAAAGAAACGUUUCUUUACGGAUUGUUAUUCCGCAUUUGAAGGCAUGCUUAUGCCUUCAAAGGUCAGAGAUCUUGAACAUGCAGAAUAGCAGAGACUACUGUCAUUGACAUCCUUUUUAAUUGUCACAAAAUUAUGAUGGCAUAUUGGACAGCAGUAUGUUGGAUAAGGCACUUCCUUAAUAAAUAGCCGGACACAUAAGUUCAUGCAGACUAAGUUUUGUUCAAUUUCAUUUGUUUUGUAGUCGGUAUCUUCAACUGCUUGGAUUAGUGGUGGGCUUGUCUAAUCAUUUCCUGCAGAUAAAUCAGAUUGGCUAGGGUGAAAUGCAAUCAAAUAGGCAUCAGAAUCUUCAGCACAGCUGCCAAUUGAAAGUGGUGUCAAAAUGUUAUCUACAAAUAAUAUGCAAAAUGCUCUGGUGAACUGGAUGGGACUAAUGGGUUGUCACAAUCCCCCCCCCCCCUGCUGCCUAAUGAGGCCAAAGAAGUUCUCCAGAGGAUCUUGGUUGAGACAUCUUGUCAUGAGAAACUCCAAGGAAUGAUGUUGGUUAAGGUCUUGAAAUGUAAAUACUACAGUGUAAUAACUACUGACAGUGUAAAUACUACAACAGUGAAAUGUAAAUACAACAGUGUAAUUGGGGUUUAAAAAUACA